rnacentral:rRNA from 1 species
UACAGAGGGGGGCAAGCGUUAUUCGGAAUUAUUGGGCGUAAAGGGCGCGUAGGCGGCCUGGCAAGUGGAAGGUGAAAUCCCUCGGCUUAACCGAGGAACUGCCCCUCCAAACUGCUUGGCUUGAGUCCGGGAGAGGUGAGUGGAAUUCCCAGUGUAGCGGUGAAAUGCGUAGAUAUUGGGAGGAACACCAGUGGCGAAGGCGGCUCACUGGACCGGAACUGACGCUGAGGCGCGAAAGCGUGGGGAGCAAACGGG